AGAGAGAGUGUGCUUCAAUUUCAAUCGAAAAAAAAAAGAAACGCCGAGAGAAGCAGAGGCGAAUGAAAGUGUUGAUCGCCAAUUUUUUCAGGUUACAAUGUCAAGUGGAUGGGCUAAACGAGGGAGCGGUACUUUGAAAGCAUAUUUCCAAGCUCAAAAACCUGAUCAAAUAGAAGAAGGAUCAACAAGUAAUGUUCAAUUUACAUCUCCAUCAAAUGAUAGAAAUCAUGAAGUGUCGAUUGUAAACCACGAACAUGAAGAAGUUGGUGGCCAAAAAACUGAAUUUGAAGCAAUGAGUACUCAAUGUGUACCUGAAGUUAUCGAAAAUGCGUAUGUUUCUUCAUUAGAACGCGACCCUGGAUUACGUAUGCCAAUUAUGCAGUAUCCGGUUAACAAACGCGAUGAAGUUCGCAGAGCUUAUCUACAAAUGGGGCGCAAUGUAACAAGACUUUCUAAGUAUCCAGGUACCCUAUUUGGAACGCAACUUCGUCGUUUUUCUGCUAAGUGGUUUGAUGAGUAUCACUGGGUUGAGUAUUCUAAAUCUAAAGAUGUCGCGUAUUGUUUCUAUUGUUUUUUGUUUGAGACAAGUCCACCAACCAGACCAGAGUAUACUUGUGAAGGGUUUAGAAAUUGGCAUAAUGUUAAGAAUGGAACUAAAGGUGCAUUUUUGGCGCACGUGGGGAAACCAAAUACUUUUCACUUCACUUCUGUAGAGAAAGGUCAGAAUUUGAAGAAUACAUCGCAGCACGUUUCUACAAUUUUCGAAGUACAGUCAACGGAGACUAUACAGAAAAAUAGGUUACGGUUCAUAACAUCAGUCGAAUGUGCCUAAUGGCUAGCCUUUCAGCAGUAUCCUUUUAGAGGCCAUGAUGAGUCAAAAAGUUCAAAGAACCGUGGUAAUUGUAUUGAGAUGAUAAAGUAUUCAGCUACACUCAACGAGAAGGUGAAAGCGGUUGUCUUAGAUAAUGCUCCUGGAAAUGCUAAGUAUUCCUCGCCUCAGAUUCAGAAAGAGAUUUUGAAUAUUAUUUCUAACAAAGUCAGAAACAAGAUUCGUGAGGAUAUUGGAGAUAGGAAAUAUUGUAUACUUGUGGAUGAAUAUAAAGAUGCUUCAAACAAAGAACAGAUGGUGCUUGUUUUAAGGUAUGUUGAUAGUAAUGGAUAUGUGCAAGAACGAUUUUUUGAUAUUCAGCGUGUAAAAAAUACAUGUGCUUUAACUCUCCAAGAAGGUAUAGUUGAUGUUCUUUCUUAAUCACUAUAAUCUUCCAAUUGAAAAUAUUCGUGGUCAAGGUUAUGAUGGUGCGAACAGUAUGAGUGGUAAGUGGAAUGUGUUGCAAUCCUUGUUUCUUGAAGAUUGUAAACAGGCAUACUAUGUUCAUUGUUUCGCACACCGACUACAACUUGCUCUUGUUAAAACAACUGAAAACUUGGGUCCGGUUUGGAAGUUUUUUUCAAUGUUAACCUCAAUUGUUAAUCUUGUGACUGGUUCUUCACAGCGUAUAACGGAUUUCCAAUCAGCUCAAGAAGAUGACAUUAACGAAAGAUUGGCUGCCGAUGAACUUGAGACGGGAAGAGGGGCUAACCAAAUAGGUACGUUGCCCCGAGCUACUGAUACUCGCUGGAGUUCUCAUUUUAAUUCUGUAUGCAGUUUAAUUGACAAGUUUGAUCCAACUUGUACAACAAUAGAAAAUAUUAGUAUGAGUGAUCCAAAUGUGACAUGUAGUGUUGGUCAAGCACGACGUAUUUUUGAAGAAAUUAGAGAUUUUAAGUUUGUUUUUGUGUUGCAUUUGAUAUAUGAGAUAAUGGGAACCACUGAAAUACUAUGUCAAGGCCUUCAAAAGAAAACACAAGACAUUGAUAAUGCCAUGGCUCUAGUCACCAAGCGUUUACUUACGAAAUUAAGAGAAGAUGGUUGGAGACAUUUUAUCGAGACGGUGUGCCUAUUUUGUGCUACCCAUAAUAUUGAUAUGCCUAAUAUGGAGGAUCGUUAUAUGGUAGGUACAGGUCGUUCUUGCCAACAAUAUGAUAACAUCACUGUGGAUCAUCAUUAUCACAUCGACAUUUUUAAUGCCACUAUUGAUUUUCAAUUGAAAGAGUUAAAUAGAAGGUUUCCUGAAGAUACAAUAGAAUUGCUGGUUCUUAGCUCAUGUUUGGAUCCUCGAGAAUCCUUUAAGUCAUUUAAUAUUGAGAAUCUUUGUACACUUGCUAAGAAUUUCUACCCUCUAGAUUCAGUCCACAAGAAGUACACACUUUGAGAAGCGAAUUACGACAUUAUGGGGAAGAUGUAGCCAACCAUCCAAGCUUUAAGAACUUAUCUACUGUUUCGGGUUGUGCCGACAGUUAGUGGAAACUAACAAGGAAGAAAUAUACCCUCUAGUUGAUAGGUUGAUUCGUCUUGUAUUAACUCUUCCAGUUUCUACGGCAACAGCAGAACGAUAUUUUUCAACAAUGUCGUGUGUUAAAACAGCCCUUCGUAACAAAAUGGAGGAAGAAUUUCUUAGAGACUGCAUGAUGCUCAACAUCGAAAGUGUCCUUGCACGAAAUGUCAGUAUAGAUUUGAUAAUAGAUGAAUUCGUUGCUCUCAAGGAUCGCAAGGCAAAACUGAAGUAGUGAUAUAUAUAAGGAUCUAAUGGAAAAUGAUUGAUAUCUUUUUUUGGUAAAACACUUUUUUGUAUAUUUGUAUCAACCUAGACUAUUACAUAUAUAUAUAUAUAUAUAUAUAUAUAAAAGAAUCAUUUUUUGUAUUCAUGGUGUUCUCUUGUGACUAACAAGUAGUAGAUUUUAAGAGAUUAGUUGAAUACUAACCAUUUCAGAUUAUUUUGGUCGGAUUGUUUCAACCUAGCUGACCAUGGAUGUAAGGGCCAGGGGUGAUCCUUAGUUAUUUUCACAACCAACAAUUGACGUUAGUGGUAGUUUAGUCAGGCAUCAGCAGAAAAUAGACAACAUGUGGUAACGCGCACAGGUAUGAAUAUCAUAUUAUGUUGUUUGUUCUUUUGAAUAUCAUAUUAUGUUGUUUGUUCUUUGCUUGCCGCAAAAAAUUUUUUUUAGCACCCCCCACCAUGCAGAAUUCCUGGCUCCGCCAUCGAGGAAAAUGAACGUCUUAGUAAACUAACUAAAGAGGAGAGGGAGAAAGAGAAAAAGAAAGAAGACGAAGAAUGGAAAGAAGGUGAGAUCGAGUUUGGAUUAUCAUAAAAGCGUGGGAUAAAGUGGUUUGGUCGAUGAGUGUUGCAAGAUAUGAGAUAAACUUGAAGGAGUUUGAGGAUGAGUGGGGGACUAAUUACCCCAAAGUAGUGGAAUAUUGCAAGAAACAAUGGUUGAGGCCACAUAAAGAGAGGUUUGUGUAUGCUUUUACUUACGACUAUAAACAUUUCAAACUUGAAUCCACAAGUAUGGUAGAGCAAGCUCAUGGGAGACUAAAAUGUCUACUUUUCACAAGUCAAAAUGGGAUUGUGACGAUGCAACAUGCUAUCCAUGAGUACACUAAUAAUGAUAUCACCAAGAUAAAAAAACAAUUCCAAGAAAGUAGCUUCCGGAAGUUGACGGAGUUUAAGGAGGAUAAUUGGUUGCUUGUUGAUAUACAUUGCAACGUAUCGCACUGGGCAAUACGUUUUAUGAUGAAACAUCUCAAGUUGUAUCAAAAGUAUGACAAGCCGAGCACUCCUUGUAAGUGUAGGAUAAUGAAGGCUAUCG